UACAGAGGGUGCAAGCGUUAAUCGGAAUUACUGGGCGUAAAGCGUGCGUAGGCGGAUACUUAAGUCAGAUGUGAAAGCCCCGGGCUCAACCUGGGAAUUGCAUCUGAUACUGGGUGUCUAGAGUAUGGCAGAGGAUGGCGGAAUUUCCGGUGUAGCGGUGAAAUGCGUAGAGAUCGGAAGGAACAUCAGUGGCGAAGGCGGCCAUCUGGGUCAAUACUGACGCUGAGGCACGAAAGCGUGGGGAGCGAACAGG
rnacentral:rRNA from 1 species